GUAGGAAAGCUGAUCUUGAUCCCAAGGAGCCUUAAAUGAUACGGACAUCUAUGUCAAAAAGCUGAAAAAAUCAACAGAAAAACUCCUGGAACUAAUAAGCUCCUGGGCAAUCUGACUUCUGGGCAUCAAUGGCAGCUGGGAGCUGGUUAUCUGGUGGAAGAAGGAAGCAGAAGAGUUCAGAGUCAGAGUGAUGCGAUAUGAGAAGGAUUCCAUCAGCCAUCGCUGACUCUGAAGAUGCAGGAAAGGGGCCAAGGGAUGCAGGCAGCCUUUGGAAGCUGGGGAAGGAAAGAAACAGAUUCUCACCCUAGAGAUUCUAGAAAGGAAUUGGUCCUGCCCACACCUGGUUUUUAAUGUAGUAAGAUCUUGUCCAAGUUCUGAACUGUAAGGCAAUAAAUCUGUUCUCUUUU
rnacentral:lncRNA from 1 species